GACGAACGCUGGCGGCGUGCCUAACACAUGCAAGUCGAACGGGACUCAGCCCUUCGGGACUGAGUUUAGUGGCGAACGGGUGAGUAACGCGUGAGGAACCUGCCUUUCAGUGGGGGACAACAGUUGGAAACGACUGCUAAUACCGCAUAAUACUUUCGAGCGGCAUCGUUUGAAAGUCAAAGAUUUAUUGCUGAAAGAUGGUCUCGCGUCUGAUUAGCUGGUUGGUGAGGUAACGGCCCACCAAGGCGACGAUCAGUAGCCGGUCUGAGAGGAUGAACGGCCACAUUGGGACUGAGAUACGGCCCAGACUCCUACGGGAGGCAGCAGUGGGGAAUAUUGGGCAAUGGGGGAAACCCUGACCCAGCAACGCCGCGUGAAGGAAGAAGGCCUUCGGGUUGGUAAAC
rnacentral:rRNA from 1 species